rnacentral:lncRNA from 1 species
CAGUUUCAGUCUUGUUGCCCAGGCUGGAGUACAAUGGCAUGAUCUCGGCUCACCACAACCUCCACCUCCCAGGUUCAAGUGGUUGUCCUGCCUCAGCCUCCCUAGUAGCUGGUAUUACAGGCAUGUGUCACCACACCCGGCUAAUUUUUGUAUUUUUAGUAGAGACAGGGUUUCUCCAGGUUGGUCAGGCUGGUCUCGAACUCCCGACCUCUGGUGAUCUGCCCACCUCGGCCUCCCAAAGUGCUGGGAUUACAGGUGUGAGCCAC